UACAGAGGUGCCAAGCGUUAGGCGGAAUCACUGGGCUUAAAGCGCGUGUAGGUGGACGGGUAAGUAUCUUGUGAAAUCCCACGGCUCAACCGUGGAACUGCUGGAUAUACUGCUUGUCUUGAGGCACUUAGGGGCAGCUGGAACAAAUGGUGGAGCGGUGAAAUGCGUAGAGAUCGGAAAGAACACCAACGGCGAAAGCACUCUGCUGGGCCGACACUGACACUGAGAGACGAAAGCUAGGGGAGCGAAUGGG
rnacentral:rRNA from 1 species